rnacentral:rRNA from 1 species
AGAGUUUGAUCCUGGCUCAGGAUGAACGCUAGCGACAGGCUUAACACAUGCAAGUCGAGGGGCAGCACAGGUAGCAAUACCGGGUGGCGACCGGCGCACGGGUGAGUAACGCGUAUGCAACUUACCUAUCAGAGGGGGAUAACCCGGCGAAAGUCGGACUAAUACCGCAUGAAGCAGGGGCCCCGCAUGGGGAUAUUUGCUAAAGAUUCAUCGCUGAUAGAUAGGCAUGCGUUCCAUUAGGCAGUUGGCGGGGUAACGGCCCACCAAACCGACGAUGGAUAGGGGUUCUGAGAGGAAGGUCCCCCACAUUGGUACUGAGACACGGACCAAACUCCUACGGGAGGCAGCAGUGAGGAAUAUUGGUCAAUGGGCGUAAGCCUGAACCAGCCAAGUCGCGUGAGGGAUGAAGGUUCUAUGGAUCGUAAACCUCUUUUAUAAGGGAAUAAAGUGCGGGACGUGUCCUGUUUUGUAUGUACCUUAUGAAUAAGGAUCGGCUAACUCCGUGCCAGCAGCCGCGGUAAUACGGAGGAUGCGAGCGUUAUCCGGAUUUAUUGGGUUUAAAGGGUGCGUAGGUGGUAAUUUAAGUCAGCGGUGAAAGUUUGUGGCUCAACCAUAAAAUUGCCGUUGAAACUGGGUUACUUGAGUGUGUUUGAGGUAGGCGGAAUGCGUGGUGUAGCGGUGAAAUGCAUAGAUAUCACGCAGAACUCCGAUUGCGAAGGCAGCUUACUAAACCAUAACUGACACUGAAGCACGAAAGCGUGGGGAUCAAACAGGAUUAGAUACCCUGGUAGUCCACGCAGUAAACGAUGAUCACUAGCUGUUUGCGAUACAGUGUAAGCGGCACAGCGAAAGCGUUAAGUGAUCCACCUGGGGAGUACGCCGGCAACGGUGAAACUCAAAGGAAUUGACGGGGGCC